GCCGGGUGUGGUGGUGCAUGCCUAUAAUCCCUGUGUCUCCGGAGGCUGAGGCAGGAGGAUUGAGAGUUCAAAGCCAGCCUUCAGCAAUUUAGUGAGGUCCUAAGUAACUCAGCAAGACCCUGUCUGCU
rnacentral:sRNA from 1 species